CGCCAAAAUUCAUAGUAAAUGUAACCUAGCAACCUCAUCAUAUACUAGGAAGUGAAAUGGUGUUUUCCACUUGCUUUUUCUCCUUUUUCGUCCUUGAGGCAGAUGCGCGCGAAAUUCCACGUGUUACGCGGGCAAACACAUUUUCCCGCCAAACCGUUUCUACCAAUGAAGCGCAUGUUUACUAGUUAUUGAAUUUUUGAUUGGAUCAUCAGAAAUGGCGCGCUCAGGGGUGACGAUGCUUUUUGGAAGAUAGUGUGUGUUGCGUCACAAUUCGUCAUACCCGCGGUGUGUGCUUUUAUCAUUGCAAGAUUGUGGCGGCAAAAAGAAAUAUUCUUUUUAUAUUCGGAGCUUAUUUAUUCAUUUGACAUUCUCCAAUAAAACGUGGACUUUAACAAGUUAUUUUUCUUUGAUAAAGGUCAUCUAUAGACAGCAUCGUUUGCUUUUAUCACAUUAUCCCCCCCUUGGAUAAGUGAAAAACGUAUGACCUAUCGUUUGAGUUUUUUAAAGCUGUGCUAGUAAUUCAAUUAUCGUUUUCCCUAUAUUAUGUUGUUUAAUUAUCGUUUUCAAUUUAUCUGAAUGACUUCUGUUUUGUUAUUGUUUUGAAUAGUAUUUGAACAUUAUUUUUAAGAUCUUACCGGUUCUAUAAUAAUGCACACGGAACCGAAUAUUGUGAUUCAACCUGAAAUCGAUAUUAUUUCUCUGAAGAUGUUGAACGUGCUCGGCUGUGAUACGACAAAUGUCACUCUCAAGGUCCGGAGGAAGCUUUUUGGUUGUUGUGACGACGAAUCGAACAAAACAUUUCUCACGGACUCCCUCUCCGAAAUUGAAAAUGAAGAUGUGCAACGCUCAUCUGAAAUUUGGAAUUUUGAUUUUCGUAGGGAAUCCCCAUUACCGGCAGGAAGGUACGCGUGGGAAAAAGUAAGAAAUUGUGAUGUACCAGUUUGGUACACAUCUUUAAACAGUGUUAUCCAUAAUGAGCGUUUGUGUGUUGUACCGCAAUUGGACAGUAAGGAGCGUGUUGAUCAAUCAUUUCAAGAAAUGGACACCGUUGAAUAUAAAUUAACAACCACAUCCAAUCAAGAAAAUCUUUCUAAUACCAGUCGUAGAAGACAAAAUUUGGUGCAAACUCAUAUAAAAGGCUAUGCCAAGAUUCAGAAGAAAAGAACACUCAAACGACCGUGUUCCAAAACCAACAGUAUUCAUUUUCUCAGAGGACCUCAUCGUGUUGCCAACUACAUAUUAAGAAAUCAAGAUGAAUCUACAGUAUCGUAAGGAUAGAGGAACAGAAUAUCGUCUCUGUAACUUCUAGUCUCUUCUCCAAAAAAGAAGCAAGGCGUUACAAUUCGUUUGGACUGAAGAAAUUUUCUGAAAGUUUCGACUGUUUCAUAGAAUGUAUAGAUUGUGUUCAGUUCCUUUUAUAUUGUAUAUAGAUACAAAGUCUUAUGAUUUGUAAAUUUGAGAAUAAAUAGAAUUCUAUCUUUGAA